CGGGGUGAGUAACACGUGGAUAAUCUGCCCUGCACGGGGGGACAACAGCUAGAAAUGGCUGCUAAUACCGCAUAAGCCUACAGCCUCGCAUGAGGGAGUAGGAAAAGAAAUUCGGUGCAGGAUGAGUCCGCGUCUGAUUAGCUAGUUGGAGGGGUAAAAGCCCACCAAGGCAACGAUCAGUAGCCGGCCUGAGAGGGCGACCGGCCACAUUGGGACUGAGACACGGCCCAAACUCCUACGGAAGGCAGCAG
rnacentral:rRNA from 1 species